GACGCACUGCGGGACAUAGUGAUGUCCUGGGUUGGGGCUGAGGAAGGCCUAUGCGCGGAGGGUGCGGCCUUCGGCUAAGGCAGAGGACCAGGGUUGGGUCCGUGGCGGCGGGAGGGGUGGCCUCCUGCGCUGGUCGCCCCAGGGGACCUGAGAGGCUCGACAAACAGUCGGCGCGUUUGGUACUCGCGCCUGCAGAGCUUUCAACCUCCGCGCCGGCUGCGCCUGUUUCUCGGCCAGGGGAGCAAGGCCACGCGGCCUACGUAGCCGAGUCGGAACCAACCGGUUGUUUAGUGCAACCUACCCCAGAACCUCCCGCGGCCCACAGAGCACAGACAGAAUCUCCCUCUGUCACCCAGGCUGGAGUGCAGUGGCAUGAUCUCGGCUCACUGCAACCUCCACCUCCCGGGUUCAAGCGAUUCUUGUGCCUCAGCCUCCGGAGUAGCUGGGAUUUACAGACGUGCGCUACCAUGCCCGGCAAAUUUUUCUAUUUUUGCAAAGACAGGAUUUCACCGUUUUGUCCAGGCUGGUCUUGAACUAUUGACCUCAAGUGAUCCGACCGCCUUGACCUCCCAAAGUGCUGAGAUUACGGGGUGUGAGCCAUCGCGCCUGGCCACUUUCUCCAAAGUUUUAAACCAAAGCCUUCUACGGCAGAGCUAGGACCCUUCCUCUAUGGCCCAUUCUAUCCUAUGCUGCUUCCCUUUUUAAGGACACUCCCACUGUUGUGCUAUAAUCAUCUCUUGGUAUCUCCAGACUCUGCCACUCUGAGCCCUCCUUACAGCCUAGAAAAAAUGACAGAUCUCGUAGCUGUUUGGGAUGUUGCUUUAAGUGACGGAGUCCACAAGAUCGAAUUUGAACAUGGGACUACAUCAGGCAAACGAGUAGUAUAUGUAGAUGGAAAGGAAGAGAUAAGAAAAGAGUGGAUGUUCAAAUUAGUGGGCAAAGAAACAUUCUAUGUUGGAGCUGCAAAGACAAAAGCGACCAUAAAUAUAGAUGCUAUCAGUGGUUUUGCUUAUGAAUAUACUCUGGAAAUUAAUGGGAAAAGUCUCAAGAAGUAUAUGGAGGACAGAUCAAAAACCACCAAUACUUGGGUAUUACACAUGGAUGGUGAGAACUUUAGAAUUGUUUUGGAAAAAGAUACUAUGGACGUAUGGUGCAAUGGUAAAAAAUUGGAGACAGCGGUAAGUUGACUAUUUGAUGACUCUUAGUGCCAUGUGUCUAAGUUACCAUUGAAUUGUUGCUGCAUUUCCUAAUUAUAGAGAUUUUAUAAUGAAUCAAGGCCCUCUUGAUAAAAACAAAAAAGGGAUUAAGUACUCCUGACUUCAGAUUCUGAAAACCUUUGCCAGAUGGUGCCUGGUACCAUGAGUUUGGAAACAACUUAUGUUCUUAGCUGGCACUAGCUUCAUACUCUCCCUUUCCUGUCCUGGACCAGGCUCCAGCAUAGCAAGUAAAAUACCUAGCAAGUAAAAUACUUAAAAGAGCCCCUAGUUAAAAAAUUAUAUCCCCAAAGGUUGGUGUCCUCUUGUGUUGAUCCAUUUGAAGUGGUGCGUUAUCACUGCUUCUCAAACUUGCAUGCACAGAAAUUGCCAGGGAUCUUGUUAAAAUGCUAAUUCUAACAUUUCCCUAGGUGCUGCUAAUGCUACUGGUCCACAGAUCACACUUUAGGAAUGCUUUACACCAUACACUCAAAGCAGAUGGUUCUUUUCUGAAAGCGAGAUUUUUGUAAAAUGAGUGAUACAGUAUCAGAUGACACGAAGGUAGACGAACAGGAAAGGGCACUCUCACGAACCCCAGAGGACAAGUGGAAUUUUAGACCAGCAGUGCCAAUGCGAGGAGAAAGAGGCUACCCCAGUCACUGUGGCCAGGCACACUGAAAUCCCCAUCUAGAUAGACUCCAGUGUGUUUGACUUUUGCUAUCAGGUGCUUCGAUUACUAUGGCUGUGGAUGGGAUGAAUGUACGAGUGAAUUUCAAGCAGGAGUGAAACAGUAGUAGUGUGCACAGGGGAGAGAGUGGGAAACAGAAAGUGUGGGACUAGGAGCCAAAAUCACUGGGUGGUAAUCCCCAUGUCUUAUGGGGUCUGUGGGCCAAGCAGGGAGUGCUAUCCCUGGGACCCACCUUUCAUGCUGGCUCCAGAUGUGAACAUCAGGGCUAGAGAUAAUCGGAAGCUCUCUUCUCUGGUCACAUUUUGCAUGUUGUAGUUGCUUUUAUCUCAUUUGUAUAGUAUAGGUUUAAGACAGUGAGAAAAGGUGAUUUUGGUAGUUGGAGGAAAGGAGGUCUGGGAUUAAUUCAUUCAGAAGACCACCUAGAACCUACUUGGUCUGAUAGCUGUUUCUGAGGAGGUGACAAAGCCAGAAAUCAAAAAUUACAAAGAUGAAGCCACACGUGGUAGCACAGGUCUGUAGUGGCUUCCUACUUGGGAGGCUGACGUGAGAGGGACCCUUGAGCCUAGGAGUUUUAGGCCAGCCUGAGAAACAUAGUGAGACCCAUCUCUAAAAAAAUUAAUCAAUCAAUUGAAAUUUAAAAGUUACAAAGAUGAAUGCUUUUCUGUUUCUGAGUCCUGAAGAAUUUAAUUUGGGCUCACUCUAAAUUGAGUGCUUGAGCUGCUCUCUGGGUUAAAUCUACUGAUAGAGACUUCUUUUAUGCAGAGAGGCUUGGAGAGUGCUUCAGUAUUUUAUGGCCCCCUUUGGAAAAACUCCAGUUACCACUAACAUGGAUCAGAUACCUACUGUGUGCCCAAUGCCAUACCUGGUGGUUCUUCCUGUUCUUUUUUUCCUACCCUGGAAUUCUCUAGAUAGGGAAUCAGCACUUUUGAAUCGCAUUUCCUCCUAUACUCAAGAAAUUCUCCAGUGCACAUGUAAAGAGAAUGCUGUUUUAUGGUAUUAAGAAUAUGGUUGUACUGGGCAAGGUGACUCAUGCAUGUAAUCCCAGCACUUUGGGAGGCUGAGGCGGGCAGAUUGCUUGAACCUAGGAGUUAGAGACUAGUUUGGGUGACAUGGCGAAACCCCUCUCUACUAAAAAUACAAAAAUUAAUAGAGCAUGGUGGCACAUGCCUAUAGUCCCAGCUACUCAGGAGGCUGAGGUGGAAGAAUUACCUGAGCCCAGGGAGAUUGAGGCUGCAGUGAGCCAAGGUUGCACCACGGCACUCCAGCCUCGGUAACAGAAUGUGAGACCCUGUCUC
rnacentral:sRNA from 1 species